rnacentral:rRNA from 1 species
AUUGAACGCUGGCAGCAUGCCUUACACAUGCAAGUCGAACGGUAACAGGUUAAGCUGACGAGUGGCGAACAGGUGAGUAAUGUAUCGGAACGUGCCCAGUCGUGGGGGAUAACUGCUCGAAAGAGCAGCUAAUACCGCAUACGACCUGAGGGUGAAAGCGGGGGAUCGCAAGACCUCGCGCGAUUGGAGCGGCCGAUAUCAGAUUAGGUAGUUGGUGAGGUAAAGGCUCACCAAGCCGACGAUCUGUAGCUGGUCUGAGAGGACGACCAGCCACACUGGGACUGAGACACGGCCCAGACUCCUACGGGAGGCAGCAGUGGGGAAUUUUGGACAAUGGGCGCAAGCCUGAUCCAGCCAUGCCGCGUGCGGGAAGAAGGCCUUCGGGUUGUAAACCGCUUUUGUCAGGGAAGAAAAGGUUCUGGCUAAUACCUGGGACUCAUGACGGUACCUGAAGAAUAAGCACCGGCUAACUACGUGCCAGCCGCCGCAGUAA